rnacentral:rRNA from 1 species
UACGUAGGCAGCGAGCGUUGUUCGGAGUUACUGGGCGUAAAGAGUGCGUAGGCGGUUUUCUAAGUUUGGUGUGAAAUCUCCCGGCUCAACUGGGAGGGUGCGCCGAAGACUGGAAGGCUUGAGUAUGGGAGAGGUAAGCGGAAUUCCUGGUGUAGCGGUGAAAUGCGUAGAUAUCAGGAGGAACACCAAUAGCGAAGGCAGCUCGCUGGGACGGUAUUGACGCUAAGGCGCGAAAGCGUGGGGAGCAAACAGG